rnacentral:rRNA from 1 species
GAUGAACGCUGGCGGCGUGCUUAACACAUGCAAGUCGAACGAAGAUGCCGGAGUGCUUGCACUUUGGCAGACUGAGUGGCGGACGGGUGAGUAACGCGUGGGUAACCUGCCUUAUACAGGGGGAUAACAGUUGGAAACGACUGCUAAUACCGCAUAAGCGCACGGUAUCGCAUGAUACAGUGUGAAAAACUCCGGUGGUAUAAGAUGGACCCGCGUCUGAUUAGCUUGUUGGUGAGGUAACGGCCCACCAAGGCGACGAUCAGUAGCCGACCUGAGAGGGUGACCGGCCACAUUGGGACUGAGACACGGCCCAAACUCCUACGGGAGGCAGCAGUGGGGAAUAUUGCACAAUGGGGGAAACCCUGAUGCAGCGACGCCGCGUGAGCGAAGAAGUAUUUCGGUAUGUAAAGCUCUAUCAGCAGGGAAGAAAAAAUAGACGGUACCUGACUAAGAAGCCCCGGCUAACUACGUAGCCAG